AUGGAGUGUGCACAUUUUGUUGCAGUGCUUAGUAUGUGGGGCCUGGUUUACAGCCGCCGCAAGCAGGCAGUCCAGGAGAGCACACACAUUGUUGCCCCCCCGGAUGACAGUGCUAGUUUGAACAAAGCAAACAUUCAGAAUACUGAAGUUAGGGGCCAGGUUUACAGCCACGACAAGCGGGCAGGCCAGGAGAGCACGCACGGCGUUAGCACAUCACAUGGCAAUGCUAGGUUGAACAGCCUGGUUUACAGUCGCCGCAAGCAGGCAGGCCAGGGGAGCACGCACGACUUAGGAGGGGGCGUUGGCGCACCACCGCACAACAGUGCUAGUUUGAACAAAGGAAGCAUUCAGAAUACUGAAGUGAGGGAGGAUUCUGUAGUAAUUGCAUGUGUAGUACCAGAUGCUGGAGAUACCGCAUUUCAGAUUCACUGUUUGAGGCCAUCGGCAUAUGCAGCUGUGUUAAGAGCGUUCUAUGCUCAAUCAGACCUUCUCUCACGGGCCAAGCAAGAAUGUCUUGCUGGACUGAGAAAUGAACUUAAAAUAUCGGACACUGAGCACAGAGAAUAUGUUGUAAAGGCCAGUACAAAUAAGCACAUCAAGUCUUUGAGUGCUUGGUAUAAGGGAAACAUUGGUAAUGCGGAAGUUGCAAAAGAAUCUCUAGAUCUCAAAUGUGUGAUACGAGAUGCUGGAGAUGCUUUAUUUCAGAUACACUGCUUGGAGCGAUCAGCAUACGCUUCUGUGUUAAGAGCUUUCUAUGCUCAGUCAGACCUCCUCUCAUGGGCCAGGCUUCUUACUAACCUAAGAAAUGAACUUAGAUUAUCAUACAUGGAGCAUCGAGAAGUUAUUGCAAGGGUCAGUUCGAAUGAGUAUAUCAAGUCUUUGAGGAAAUUUAGUUUAGUAAAUUAUUCUGGUCUUAUGAAGAGGACUCCUGCUUUUGAUCUACAUGCUGUUGUUCCUGACAAGAUUGACAAAACUGGACAGUCCUUCACCUCAUUGGUUCCACAAUCAUCAACGCCAGCACACAUGAUGUCACCAGCAAGGAACAUUUGCAUAUUAGGUAUCUCUUAUAGCACCACAAAAGGUUCUUGUUUUGAUCCCGACGCCACUGUGCCAGCUAAGAAGUUGAAAUCUGGCAGUGGGAGUGCAUUAGCAUACUUCAAAUGCCCCCCUUGCGCGGAACCGUUGCCCGAGGCAGUUUCUUCUGUGCGGGCGGAAAGUCCCAAAUAUGAUCUGCUUGAUAGUAGUAAGGAAUCACCCUGCGCAAUGAAAGCUGGAUGCGCUGUAUCUCCCAUGUUUCAAGAAAAGCACAACGAAUCAAAUGCUGGUGAUGUUCCUUGGUGUGUUCACAAAUAUAUGGAAGUAUCAAGAAAAAGGGGAAGUGAAGUGUCUCCUGUGAGCAGAUCUAAGAGCCUGAGCGUCAUCACUGACAGCGCUGGAAAUACAGACCAUGGCUCUGAUAUAAUUAAGAUUCUCCUAACUUGUGGCCUUGUAAACAAGGUUGAAGAACUAUUUAAAGUGAAGCCAGAUCCAGCUAGUUUACAGACAGCGAAGUUAAUCCUCAAAGAUCAAGAAAUUCACCUUUUGGAUGCGCUUGCUAAACUCUCGGAAGCAUCAUUUGCUUCGAAGGUCAACCAGCACGAUGUGGUCAAGGGCGACCCGUUGAGCUACGACGAGGCGCCUACCUCGUCGAUCACAGAGCUGCGUCGAGCAGAAACAGAAGAGGAGACUCAGGGCGCAGAGAGAGCCGGCGGCCAAGCGGGCACGGUGCACCACCGCCAGACUCUUGGGGGCGGAAUGGGUCAAGUGUUCCCCAGGAAGAGAAAGAAAAGAGAAGGAUGCGUCCUACACUACUCCGCACCGUGUUUAGUUUAG
rnacentral:rRNA from 1 species